rnacentral:rRNA from 1 species
CAUGCAAGUCGAACGAUGAUCUCCAGCUUGCUGGGGGGAUUAGUGGCGAACGGGUGAGUAACACGUGAGUAACCUGCCCUUAACUCUGGGAUAAGCCUGGGAAACUGGGUCUAAUACCGGAUAUGACUCCUCAUCGCAUGGUGGGGGGUGGAAAGCUUUUUGUGGUUUUGGAUGGACUCGCGGCCUAUCAGCUUGUUGGUGAGGUAAUGGCUCACCAAGGCGACGACGGGUAGCCGGCCUGAGAGGGUGACCGGCCACACUGGGACUGAGACACGGCCCAGACUCCUACGGGAGGCAGCAGUGGGGAAUAUUGCACAAUGGGCGCAAGCCUGAUGCAGCGACGCCGCGUGAGGGAUGACGGCCUUCGGGUUGUAAACCUCUUUCAGUAGGGAAGAAGCGAAAGUGACGGUACCUGCAGAAGAAGCGCCGGCUAACUACGUGCCAGCAGCCGCGGUAAUACGUAGGGCGCAAGCGUUAUCCGGAAUUAUUGGGCGUAAAGAGCUCGUAGGCGGUUUGUCGCGUCUGCCGUGAAAGUCCGGGGCUCAACUCCGGAUCUGCGGUGGGUACGGGCAGACUAGAGUGAUGUAGGGGAGACUGGAAUUCCUGGUGUAGCGGUGAAAUGCGCAGAUAUCAGGAGGAACACCGAUGGCGAAGGCAGGUCUCUGGGCAUUAACUGACGCUGAGGAGCGAAAGCAUGGGGAGCGAACAGGAUUAGA